GACCGGGAUGAGCUCAAAUUUAAAAUCUGGCGUCUUUCAGGCGUCCGAGUUGUAAUCUAUAGAGGCGUUUUCCGCGCCGGACCGCGUCCAAGUCUCUUGGAAUAGAGUAUCAAAGAGGGUGACAAUCCCGUACUUGACGCGACAACCGGUGCUCUGUGAUACGUUCUCAAUGAGUCGAGUUGUUUGGGAAUGCAGCUCUAAAUGGGUGGUAAAUUCCAUCUAAGGCUAAAUAUUGGCGAGAGACCGAUAGCGAACAAGUACCGUGAGGGAAAGAUGAAAAGCACUUUGGAAAGAGAGUUAAACAGCACGUGAAAUUGUUAAAAGGGAAACGAUUGAAGUCAGUCGUGUGAAAGGUAUUCAGCCGUCUCUGGCGGUGUAUUUGCCUUUCACGGGUCAACAUCAGUUUGAUCCGGUAGAAAAAGGCGGGAGGAAGGUGGCACCCUCGGGUGUGUUAUAGCCUCCUGUCAUAUGUGCCGGACCAGACUGAGGAACGCAGCUUGCCGCAAGGCCGGGGUUCGCCCACGUACAAGCUUAGGAUGUUGACAUAAUGGCUUUAAACGACCCGUCUU
rnacentral:rRNA from 1 species